rfam:Salmo salar isolate Sally breed double haploid chromosome ssa19, whole genome shotgun sequence.
AAUGCACCAAUUUGUAAAUCGCUCUGGAUAAGAGCGUCUGCUAAAUGACUUAAA